GUGAAUCAUCGAAUCUUUGAACGCAAAUUGCACUUUCUGGUAUUCCGGAGAGUAUGCCUGUUUGAGGUUCAGUUAAAUUAAAAUCGGUUUUGUUGCUACCCGUAGUGGUUUGUUAUUCAUCUGAAUUGAGUCGUUCUUUGCCUUUGGUUUAUGUGACUUAAAUUUAUGUUCGAUUUUUGAACUUCGUUAAAUUAUUACUUACUUCCAUAAUGUCACAUAUUAGGGUCGUUCAUUCACAUUAUUUC
rnacentral:misc_RNA from 1 species